rfam:Danio rerio chromosome 15, GRCz11 reference primary assembly.
CCUUCGAUAGCUCAGUUGGUAGAGCGGAGGACUGUAGGUGGGACGUUGGCAAUCCUUAGGUCGCUGGUUCGACUCCGGCUCGAAGGA